UCUCCCCCAUUGGCUAUAUCACCUUUUUGCUCUCAAUUUGAAUUUUGAUUCUCUUUUAAAUAAUGGUAAAAGAUUUAAUUAAGAAUAAAAAUGGAUUUCCUAGGACAAUUCCUUAUCUUAAGUUUUUAACUAAUAAAAAUGAUGUCUUAAACAAGUGUUUCCUAUGUAGACAUAGAUUGCUGAGAUUUUAUAGUUUACUUUAAGUUCUUCCCCAUUGGCUUUAUGGACUCUAUGAGUUGAUUUCUCAAAGUAUUUAAAGAGAAUUAAUAAUUCUCCUAUGCAAUGCAC
rnacentral:lncRNA from 1 species